AUGGAAGAAGUUAUCAUUUUCUUGUUUGUUCUUCUUUCCAACGAUCCAGCCUCUAUUCUUUCAUUCCGGGGGCAUUGUAGUGUUGCACUCUUAGACCCAUCAUCUUGUGUUGUCAAGAUCAUGUUCUUUGUUGCUUAUCCAUUUAACCGGAGUGUUGUGUCUAUCAUUCGUCUUUUAACCGGAGCCUCACCCAAGUGCUUUCAUUUUGCGAAGUUCAUGUUCAAUUCCCUCCAUGUCCAACCGGAGUGCUGUCCAAAUUCUGUCAAUCUUGCUCCUGGGCUAUCUUGUUAUACCGUUGCGGUUUCAUAUCCUUGUGUUUCGUUAAGCUCGUGUUUCAUGUCUUUCAACCUACAAGGUUCUCGUAAUGUUCUUUGUUCCUCUUUUCUAACGGAGUGUUUGCAAUCUCGUUCAUCUCCAUUGUAUUCUUUCUGUCAAGUUGUUCAACCUCUCAAGGUUCGUGGUUUCACUCGUUUGCCGUAG
rnacentral:rRNA from 1 species